GGAGGGUGCGAGCGUUAAUCGGAAUUACUGGGCGUAAAGCGCGCGUAGGCGGCUUGGUCAGUCGGAUGUGAAAGCCCCCGGGCUUAACCUGGGAAUUGCAUCCGAUACUGCCAGACUAGAGUAUGGGAGAGGGAAGCGGAAUUUCCGGUGUAGCGGUGAAAUGCGUAGAUAUCGGAAGGAACACCAGUGGCGAAGGCGGCUUCCUGGCCCAAUACUGACGCUGAGGUGCGAAAGCGUGGGGAGCGAACAGGGAUUAGAUACCCUGGUAGUCCACGCCGUAAACGAUGAGAACUAGAUGUCGGGAGGAUUCGCCUCUCGGUGUCGCAGCUAACGCGUUAAGUUCUCCGCCUGGGGAGUACGCCGGCAACGGUA
rnacentral:rRNA from 1 species